GUAGGCUAAUUAAAAACUGACCGUUGCCCAUCGCUGGACGCACCGGAGGACCGAGACACAAAGUAAACACGCCUCUCUGACCGGUACCGGGGGGGUGUGCAGUGUGUCG